GAGCGGCUUGCGUGGUAUUAGCUAGUUGGUGAGGUAACGGCUCACCAAGGCUACGAUGCCUAGGGGAUGUUAGCGCAUGAUCCCCACCACUGGGACUGAGAUACUGCCCAGACACCUACGGGUGGCUGCAGUCGAGAAUCUUCGGCAAUGGGGGAAACCCUGACCGAGCGACGCCGCGUGUGGAUGAAGGCCCUUGGGUUGUAAACCACUGUCAGAGGGGAUGAAGUGCCGGAAAGCUAUCUUUCCGGUUUGACAUAGCCUCAGAGGAAGCACGGGCUAAGUUCGUGCCAGCAGCCGCGGUAAGACGAACUGUGCAAACGUUAUUCGGAAUCACUGGGCUUGAAGAGUGCGUAGGCGGUUUCGUAAGUAGGGUGUGAAAGCCCUCGGCUCAACCGGGGAAUUGCGUCCUAAACUGCGAGGCUGGAGUGAGGUAGGGGUGUGUGGAACUUCCAGUGGAGCGGUGAAAUGUGUUGAUAUUGGAAGG
rnacentral:rRNA from 1 species